rnacentral:rRNA from 1 species
UAAGCACCCCGCCUGGGGAGUACGGCCGCAAGGCUAAAACUCAAAGGAAUUGACGGGGGCCCGCACAAGCGGCGGAGCAUGCGGAUUAAUUCGAUGCAACGCGAAGAACCUUACCAAGGCUUGACAUAUAGAGGAAAAGUGCAGAAAUGUACUCCCCGCAAGGUCUCUAUACAGGUGGUGCAUGGUUGUCGUCAGCUCGUGUCGUGAGAUGUUGGGUUAAGUCCCGCAACGAGCGCAACCCUCGUCCUAUGUUGCCAGCACGUAAUGGUGGGAACUCAUGGGAUACUGCCGGGGUCAACUCGGAGGAAGGUGGGGAUGACGUCAAAUCAUCAUGCCCCUUAUGUCUUGGGCUUCACGCAUGCUACAACGGCCGGUACAGAGGGCUGCAAUACCGUAAGGUGGAGCGAAUCCCAAAAAGCCGGUCUCAGUUCGGAUUGAGGUCUGCAACUCGACCUCAUGAAGUCGGAGUCGCUAGUAAUCGUAGAUCAGCAACGCUACGGUGAAUACGUUCCCGGGCCUUGUACACACCGCCCGUCAAGUCACGAAAGUCGGUAACACCCGAAGCCGGUGGCCUAACCGUAAGGAAGGAGCCGUCGAAGGUGGGAUUGGUGAUUGGGACUAAGUCGUAACAAGGUAACCAAGGGCGAA